AUUGAACGCUGGCGGCAUGCCUUACACAUGCAAGUCGAACGGUAACGCGGGGCAACCUGGCGACGAGUGGCGAACGGGUGAGUAACGCAUCGGAACGUGCCCAAUAGUGGGGGAUAGCCCGGCGAAAGCCGGAUUAAUACCGCAUACGACCUACGGGUGAAAGCAGGGGAUCGCAAGACCUUGCGCUAAUGGAGCGGCCGAUGUCAGAUUAGGUUGUUGGUGGGGUAAAAGCCUACCAAGCCGACGAUCUGUAGCUGGUCUGAGAGGACGACCAGCCACACUGGGACUGAGACACGGCCCAGACUCCUACGGGAGGCAGCAGUGGGGAAUUUUGGACAAUGGGCGAAAGCCUGAUCCAGCCAUGCCGCGUGCGGGAUGAAGGCCUUCGGGUUGUAAACCGCUUUUGUUAGGGAAGAAAUCUUUUGAGCUAAUACCUCGGAAGGAUGACGGUACCUAAAGAAUAAGCACCGGCUAACUACGUGCCAGCAGCCGCCGUAA
rnacentral:rRNA from 1 species